UAUUGGACUGUAAAUUCCAUGAGGGCAGAAAGCGUGGGUGUUUUGCUCGUUACCACGUAAGCAGUUCCGGGAACAGCGCUGCAAAUCAGGUUGAUGUGUAUGUCGGUUAAAAAAAAAGUUUAAGAGCAGCCACUGGGGUAUCCUGGAUGGAACGAAGGGUACUGCCACCUGAGCUCCAUCUGAGACCACUUUAAACUGACACUCUCGGCGAAUCCUUCCUCAGCACCCACCCUCCGAUGCCUACCCCAGCCGGGGACUAACAUAGAAGCAUAACACCCCAUCCUUGAACAACAAAACAUCGAUUCUCACAGGAAGUAGAUCUGGCUUUGUUUUAAUAAAAACAGUCUUAGAACUCACGCACACGCGCAAACCACCCAUGGAAAAAAUGUGUCAUUUGUACCUUUGCCUGAAGGAAAAUGUUGAUACUGUACCAUGGUUCAUAGAAAUUGAAUCAACGUUAAAUCUCUAAAUGACUUUUCUCUGCGAGUGGGAGAGCCACACGGUCCAGUACUCAGAAGACAAAGACAGAGGAAACCUAAUCAAAAGUGACUUGGCAUUUUGGUUCACCAAGAAUCAGAGGGCUGGGAGUCGGGUUUCAGGAAAUAGAAGGGAGGAAUCUGAACUGCAUGAAAGCGAUUACAAGAGACAUAAUGGACAAUUACAUCAGAACUAACUCCAACCUGCCAUGAGGCUCAGUCGCUCUUCAUUAAUAAUGAUCAUGCUGGCAAACAAUGAAAUAGAUGAGUGAGAGGCCUCGAGUGAACAUU